rnacentral:rRNA from 1 species
AACGAACGCUGGCGGCAUGCCUAACACAUGCAAGUCGAACGGGAUCCUAGCUUGCUAGGUGAGAGUGGCGGACGGGUGAGUAACACGUGGGAAUCUGCCUUUUGGUUCGGGAUAACCGCGGGAAACUGCGGCUAAUACCGAAUGCCCUCGAGAGAGGAAAGAUUUAUCGCCAGAAGAGGAGCCCGCGUCCGAUUAGGUAGUUGGUGGGGUAAAGCCUACCAAGCCGACGAUCGGUAGCUGGUCUGAGAGGAUGAUCAGCCACACUGGGACUGAGAUACGGCCCAGACUCCUACGGAGGCAGCAGUGGGGAAUAUUGGACAAUGGGGGCAACCCUGAUCCAGCAAUGCCGCGUGAGUGAUGAAGGCCUUA